CUUGCCCCGAGAUGAGUUCUCCCUGAGACUUAGAGUCUCCUGAAGGAACGUUGAAGACGACGACGUUGAUAGGCCGGGUGUGUAAGCGCAGCGAUGCGUUGAGCUAACCGGUACUAAUGAACCGUGAGGCUUAACCUUACAACGCCGAAGCUGUU
rnacentral:rRNA from 1 species